rnacentral:piRNA from 1 species
UGCUAAGGUAUUGUGUGUGAGAAGAGC